rnacentral:rRNA from 1 species
GCAAGUCGAACGAUUAAAGCUCUCUUCGGAGAGUGUAUAGAGUGGCGCACGGGUGAGUAACACGUAAGUAAUCUACCCUCGGGUGGGGAAUAACAUCGGGAAACCGAUGCUAAUACCGCAUAAUGCAGCGGCUCCUAAUGGAGACAGUUGUUAAAGGAUUUAUUCGCCUGAGGAGGAGCUUGCGGCAGAUUAGCUAGUUGGUAAGGUAAUGGCUUACCAAGGCUACGAUCUGUAGCCGGUCUAAGAGGACGGUCGGUCACACUGACACUGAAUAACGGGUCAGACUCCUACGGGAGGCAGCAGUCGGGAAUUUUGGGCAAUGGGCGAAAGCCUGACCCAGCAACGCCGCGUGAAGGAUGAAGUAUUUCGGUAUGUAAACUUCGAAAGAAUAGGAAGAAUUAAUGACGGUACUAUUUAUAAGGUCCGGCUAACUACGUGCCAGCAGCCGCGGUAAUACGUAGGGACCAAGCGUUGUUCGGAUUUACUGGGCGUAAAGGGCGCGUAGGUGGCAUGACAAGUCACUUGUGAAAUCUCCGGGCUUAACUCGGAACGGCCAAGUGAUACUGUCACGCUAGAGUGCAGAAAGGGCAAUCGGAAUUCUUGGUGUAGCGGUGAAAUGCGUAGAUAUCAAGAGAACACCUGAGCGAAAGCGGGUUG